UACGGGGGGGGCAAGCGUUGUUCGGAAUUACUGGGCGUAAAGGGCUCGUAGGUGGCCAACUAAGUCAGACGUGAAAUCCCUCAGCUUAACUGGGGAACUGCGUCUGAUACUGGAUGGCUUGAGAUUGGGAGAGGGAUGCGGAAUUCCAGGUGUAGCGGUGAAAUGCGUAGAUAUCUGGAGGAACACCGGUGGCGAAGGCGGCAUCCUGGACCGGUAUUGACGCUGAGGCGCGAAAGCUGGGGGAGCGAACGGG
rnacentral:rRNA from 1 species